GAUGAACGCUGGCGGUGCGCCUAAUGCAUGCAAGUCGAGCGACACACUCCCAGUCCGUAAGGACAGGGUUUGAUGGAGCGGCGAACGGGUGAGUAACACGUGAGCAACCUGCCCCACAGAUCGGGAUAGCCCAGGGAAACCUGGAUUAAUACCGGAUACCCUCUGAGAUCCGCAUGGAUCAUUGAGGAAAGGCCUUUGUGCUGUGGGAUGGGCUCGCGACUUAUCAGUUAGUUGGUGGGGUAACGGCCUACCAAGACAAUGACGAGUAGCUGGUCUGAGAGGACGAUCAGCCACACUGGAACUGAGACACGGUCCAGACUCCUACGGGAGGCAGCAGCAGGGAAUCUUGCGCAAUGGGCGAAAGCCUGACGCAGCGACACCGCGUGGGGGAUGAAGGCCUUUCGGGUUGUAAACCC
rnacentral:rRNA from 1 species